AUACGGAAGGUCCGGGCGUUAUCCGGAUUUAUUGGGUUUAAAGGGAGCGCAGGCGGAGAUGCAAGCGUGACGUCAAAUUUCGGGGCUCAACCCCGUCUCGCGUCGCGAACUGCGUCCCUUGGUUGCGGGAAGGGGAGGCGGAACUCGUGGUGUAGCGGGGAAAUGCAUAGAUAUCACGAGGAACUCCGAUUGCGCAGGCAGCUUACUAAACUACUACUGACGCUCAGGCACGAAGGCGUGGGGAUCAAACAGGAUUAGAUACCCUGGUAGUCCACGCAGUAAACGAUGAUUACUAGCUGUUUGCGAUACAAUGUAAGCGGCUGAGCGAAAGCGUUAAGUAAUCCACCUGGGGAGUACGUUCGCAAGAAUGAAACUCAAAGGAAUUGACGGGG
rnacentral:rRNA from 1 species